AUAGCGAACAAGUACCGUGAGGGAAAGGUGAAAAGAACCGCAGUGAGCGGAGUGAAAUAGAACCUGAAACCAUUUGCCUACAAUCAUUCAGAGCCCUAUUGUAGGCUCUUCUAGUAGAUUACGUAGGCUUGUCUCUUGGACGAUUUUAAGAGAGUAAGAACAUUGCUCACUGCGACGCACGUUUAAGUGCGUCUCAUUCGCAAUAACCUUACAACCCUUAAACUCGCCUCAAGAUACUUCGCCUAUCUAUUCUUUAGGGAUUCUAGAUUCUAUAAUCUUUUAGAAUCUAAACUAAAGAGUGUGCAGUGAUUUCGAGUCGAUUUUAAGGGUUGUGCAGAAAAAACUGCGGAGACUAGCCUUUUUGGCUGUCGCACAAGAUUUUUUCAAACUCCCUUAAAAGCGACCGAAAGCACAAACAACGUGAUUUCCUAGAUGAGCCUACAAGGGUGAUGGACUGCCUUUUGCAUAAUGAUCCUGCGAGUUGUGGUAUCUGGCAAGGUUAAGCAAACGCGAAGCCGUAGCGAAAGCGACUUUUAAC
rnacentral:rRNA from 1 species